GCGUGCCUAAUACAUGCAAGUCGAGCGAGCUUGCCUAUUGAAAUUCUUCGGAAUGGACAUAGAUACAAGCUAGCGGCGGAUGGGUGAGUAACGCGUGGGUAACCUGCCCUUAAGUCUGGGAUACCAUUUGGAAACAGAUGCUAAUACCGGAUAAAAGCUACUUUCGCAUGAAAGAAGUUUAAAAGGCGGCGUAAGCUGUCGCUAAAGGAUGGACCUGCGAUGCAUUAGCUAGUUGGUAAGGCAACGGCUUACCAAGGCGAUGAUGCAUAGCCGAGUUGAGAGACUGAUCGGCCACAUUGGGACUGAGACACGGCCCAAACUCCUACGGGAGGCAGCAGUAGGGAAUCUUCCACAAUGGACGCAAGUCUGAUGGAGCAACGCCGCGUGAGUGAAGAAGGUUUUCGGAUCGUAAAGCUCUGUUGUUGGUGAAGAAGGAUAGAGGUAGUAACUGGCCUUUAUUUGACGGUAAUCAACCAGAAAGUCACGGCUAACUACGUGCCAGCAGCCGCGGUAAUACGUAGGUGGCAAGCGUUGUCCGGAUUUAUUGGGCGUAAAGCCGAGCGCAGGCGGAUUGAUAAGUCUGAUGUGAAAGCCUUCGGCUCAACCGAAGAACUGCAUCAGAAACUGUCAAUCUUGAGUGCAGAAGAGGAGAGUGGAACUCCAUGUGUAGCGGUGGAAUGCGUAGAUAUAUGGAAGAACACCAGUGGCGAAGGCGGCUCUCUGGUCUGUAACUGACGCUGAGGCUCGAAAGCAUGGGUAGCGAACAGGAUUAGAUACCCUGGUAGUCCAUGCCGUAAACGAUGAGUGCUAAGUGUUGGGAGGUUUCCGCCUCUCAGUGCUGCAGCUAACGCAUUAAGCACUCCGCCUGGGGAGUACGACCGCAAGGUUGAAACUCAAAGGAAUUGACGGGGGCCCGCACAAGCGGUGGAGCAUGUGGUUUAAUUCGAAGCAACGCGAAGAACCUUACCAGGUCUUGACAUCCUUUGACCACUAAGAGAUUAGGUUUUCCCUUCGGGGACAAAGAGACAGGUGGUGCAUGGCUGUCGUCAGCUCGUGUCGU
rnacentral:rRNA from 1 species